rnacentral:rRNA from 1 species
GAUGAACGCUGGCGGCGUGCCUAAUACAUGCAAGUCGAGCGAACGGACGAGAAGCUUGCUUCUCUGAUGUUAGCGGCGGACGGGUGAGUAACACGUGGAUAACCUACCUAUAAGACUGGGAUAACUUCGGGAAACCGGAGCUAAUACCGGAUAAUAUUUUGAACCGCAUGGUUCAAAAGUGAAAGACGGUCUUGCUGUCACUUAUAGAUGUAUCCGCGCUGCAUUAGCUAGUUGGUAAGGUAACGGCUUACCAAGGCAACGAUGCAUAGCCGACCUGAGAGGGUGAUCGGCCACACUGGAACUGAGACACGGUCCAGACUCCUACGGGAGGCAGCAGUAGGGAAUCUUCCGCAAUGGGCGAAAGCCUGACGGAGCAACGCCGCGUGAGGGAAGAAGGUCUUCGGAUCGUAAAACUCUGUUAUUAGGGAAGAAAAUAUGUGUAAGUAACUGUGCACAGCUUGACGGUACCUAAUCAGAAAGCAACGGCUAACUACGUG